rnacentral:ncRNA from 2 species
UCUGUUCACGGUGAUGGAUCCCGCCGGAACGCCUUGCACCCGCUGCGGACGUUCGAACCGCCUCCCGGCUGAUGGUUCCUACCUUUGC